GGAUCAUUAGCGAGUUAAUUAUAAGCUCCAAACCCAUGUGAACGUACCUACUGUUGCCUUCGGCAGGUCGUGGUGCGCGGCGGGAUCGCCAACCGGCGGCGGGCAGCUACCCUGGAGUGGGCAGCUACCCCGCGGCCGGGAGGCGGCCUGCCCCGCGCCACGCUAAACAGGCCUGCCGGAGGACCACUAAACUCUGUUUUUACGCCUGUAUCUCUGAGUUUGCUAUACAAAUAAGUUAAAACUUUCAACAACGGAUCUCUUGGCUCUGGCAUCGAUGAAGAACGCAGCGAAAUGCGAUAAGUAAUGUGAAUUGCAGAACUCAGUGAAUCAUCGAAUCUUUGAACGCACAUUGCGCCUAACAGUAUUCUGUUAGGCAUGCCUGUUCGAGCGUCAUUUCAACCAUCAAGCCCUAUCUUGCUUGACGUUGGGAGAUUACGGAGACGUAACUCCUUAAAUAUAGUGGCGGAGCUGGGUCGUGCUCUAAGCGUAGUAACUUACAAUUCUCGCUUCUGAGGGCGGCCCGGGUCUUGCCGUAAAACCCCCCUAUAUUUUAUCACUGGUUGACCUCGGAUCAGGUAGGAAUACCCGCUGAACUUAAGCAUAUCAAUAAGCGGAGGAAAAGAAACCAACAGGGAUUGCCCUAGUAACGGCGAGUGAAGCGGCAACAGCUCAAAUUUGAAAUCUGGCCUUCGGGUCCGAGUUGUAAUUUGCAGAGGAUGCUUUUGGCGCGGUGCCUUCCGAGUUCCCUGGAACGGGACGCCUUAGAGGGUGAGAGCCCCGUACGGUUGGACACCAAGCCUCUGUAAAGCUCCUUCGACGAGUCGAGUAGUUUGGGAAUGCUGCUCUAAAUGGGAGGUAAAUUUCUUCUAAAGCUAAAUACCGGCCAGAGACCGAUAGCGCACAAGUAGAGUGAUCGAAAGAUGAAAAGCACUUUGAAAAGAGGGUUAAAUAGCACGUGAAAUUGUUGAAAGGGAAGCGUUUACGGCCAGACCUUUUCCUGGCGGAUCAUCUGGUGUUCUCACCAGUGCACUUCGCCAGGUUUAGGCCAGCAUCGGCUUCCGUUAGGGGGAUAAAAGCAGUGGGAAAGUAGCUCCCUCGGGAGUGUUAUAGCCCUAAGCAUAAUACCCUUACGGGGGCCGAGGACCGC
rnacentral:rRNA from 1 species